rnacentral:rRNA from 1 species
CCUACGGGAGGCAGCAGUGAGGAAUAUUGGUCAAUGGACGAGAGUCUGAACCAGCCAAGUAGCGUGAAGGAUGACUGCCCUAUGGGUUGUAAACUUCUUUUAUAUGGGAAUAAAAUGUUCCACGUGUGGGUUUUUGUAUGUACCAUAUGAAUAAGGAUCGGCUAACUCCGUGCCAGCAGCCGCGGUAAUACGGAGGAUUCGAGCGUUAUCCGGAUUUAUUGGGUUUAAAGGGAGCGUAGGUGGAUUGUUAAGUCAGUUGUGAAAGUUUGCGACUCAACCGUAAAAUUGCAGUUGAAACUGGCAGUCUUGAGUACAGUAGAGGUGGGCGGAAUUCGUGGUGUAGCGGUGAAAUGCUUAGAUAUCACGAAGAACUCCGAUUGCGAAGGCAGCUCACUGGACUGCAACUGACACUGAGGCUCGAAAGUGUGGGUAUCAAACAGGAUUAGAUACCCCAGUAGUC